GGAUUAGAUACCCUGGUAGUCCACGCUGUAAACGAUGAAAGCUAUAUGUUGGUGGGUUAGCCCAUCAGUGUUGCAGCUAACGCUAUAAGCUUUCCGCCUGGGGAGUACGGUCGCAAGAUUAAAACUCAAAGGAAUUGACGGGGACCCGCACAAGCGGUGGAGUAUGUGGUUUAAUUCGAAGCAACGCGCAGAACCUUACCAGCUCUUGACUUGUAACACGUAGGCCUUAGAGAUAGGGCUGUCACUUUGGGUGGUGUUAACACAGGUGCUGCAUGGCUGUCGUCAGCUCGUGCUG
rnacentral:rRNA from 1 species